CCGCCUUCAUUUAUCUUAAGGUUGUUUAGGUUGGGGAACCUCUCUGCCUGCUCCUCCAUGCCUAACACCAACUAGGACAUUUCCUUUCCUUUUUGGAGUCUUAUGGUUAUGCCCUUAUGGCUGCAUUUCAUUCAUUUUAAUUUCUAUCUACUUUUAUAAAUGAGAAAAUUUUUGUACAAAUUAUCUCAAGUAUGUGUAUAACGUAAAUCAUUAAAAAAAUUAUUACUGAGUGAUUUAUAAGUUUGUG
rnacentral:lncRNA from 1 species